rnacentral:rRNA from 1 species
GACGAAGGGGGCUAGCGUUGUUCGGAAUUACUGGGCGUAAAGCGUGUGUAGGUGGUUGCCAGAGUCAGGUGUGAAAGCCUUGAGCUCAACUCAAGAAAUGCACUUGAUACUGGGCAGCUAGAGGACCGGAGAGGAUAGUGGAAUUCCCAGUGUAGUGGUGAAAUACGUAGAGAUUGGGAAGAACACCAGUGGCGAAGGCGGCUAUCUGGACGGUUUCUGACACUAAGACACGAAAGCGUGGGGAGCAAACAGG